UACAGAGGGUGCGAGCGUUAAUCGGAAUUACUGGGCGUAAAGGGCGCGUAGGCGGCCUUCUAAGUCGAACGUGAAAUCCCCGGGCUCAACCCGGGAACUGCGUCCGAUACUGGAAGGCUUGAAUCCGGGAGAGGGAUGCGGAAUUCCAGGUGUAGCGGUGAAAUGCGUAGAUAUCGUGAGGAACACCAGAGGCGAAGGCGGCUUCCUGGACAAUUGCUGACGCUCAGGCACGAAAGCGUGGGGAGCAAAAGGG
rnacentral:rRNA from 1 species